UGGUACUCCCAAAUAUGGAACGAGAUGCUGGCCAAUCAGAUAUCUUGGACAAAGUUUUGAAAUGCGAAAUCAGUAUAAAUAAAGCGGUUCACCGGGAGAAAGAUGUAGUAAUUCUUUGAGAAAAUGUCGGAUUUUAGCUACAGCAGUUCGGAAAAUGGUCUUGACAGCCAACCAAGUCUUCAUCUGGAGUUCGAAGGAACGGAAAGUCCGUCUGAUUUGGAAAGCACACCAAAGAGACAGAAAACUAACGAUGGCCGUGCCCAUAGUGCCCGCGCCAGCGUUCUGAGACCAUUGUCCCCCAGCAUAAGUGAGGCAGGAUCGGAAUCUGACUCGAUAUUGCUUCCAAUAGAUAGAGAGCCUGAACAGCAAACACCGUCAUCUUGUGGAAAGAAAUCAAGCAGUGGUGUUAGAUUUUUACGGCGGUCUCCAAGGAAAAGAAUAAGUGCAGCAGCAAGUUCUGGGCUACAGGUAUCUGACAAUGAGACUGAUACUGACACAGUGGGCUCUCCUUGAACAGGAGCUAAAACUACUCAGGCAUCUGGUGCAGUUAGAUCCCCUAGGAAGAAACGAAAAGAUAGCUCCCAAAAUGUGGAUAAAAGUCAGAAAACAAAGGCAAAGACACAAGAAACACCACGUGUUAACAUAAACAGCGGGACAGGGAUUCUUGGCAAAUUGAAUGAAAUUCUGAACAAUCAAAAGGAGAUCAUAUCAACAAUGAAGGUCAUGAAAACUGAUCUCAAAAACCUCAAGACAGAAGUUGAGAAGAAGAAAGAUGAAGAACCUGAAAACGUCAGAGUGCCAAAUAGAAUAAGGAAUGCUGUUAAAGAUUUCUUUUCAAGCGGAGAGGACAGAGAGCUGAAAUGGGAUUUCCAGAAAAGUUA